rnacentral:misc_RNA from 1 species
AUACAAGUGAUUUACGGAUUACAGUAAGCAAAGCAUGUGAGCAUAUAUUUGCAGGUCUUCUAUUGAUUCAUAAAAGUGUCAUAAGCCAAAAGGUUUACUUGAUGACAUAAUCUAUACAUCUUUAACACAAAGUAGCAUUAUGCUUUAGUCCUUUCUGGGUAAUGGCAUCUCAUCUCUUGCCAUGCUGCUUCUUUGUAGGUGCUCCAGCACUGCUUUCAUUCCAG